rnacentral:rRNA from 1 species
CUUGCUAGUUACCAUCAUUAAAUUGGGGACGUCUAGCGAGACUGCCAGUGAUAAACUGGAGGAAGUGGGGAUGACGUCAAAUCAUCAUGCCCCUUAUGACCUGGGCUACAAACGUGAUACAAUGGCUGGAACAAAGGGAUGCGAAGCAGUGAUGUGGAGCGAAACCCAUAAAAACAGUCUCAGUUCGGAUUGAAGUCUGCAACUCGACUUCAUGAAGUCGGAAUCGCUAGUAAUCGCGGAUCAGAACGCCGCGGUGAAUACGUUCUCGGGGUUU